GAAAUGGCACUGGUGUGGCUGAGUGACUGGGUUCUUCACUUCAUUUAAGUUAAGCAGCCACAUGUGGCCAGUGCUGCCAGGCAGCCCAGCUAAUGGCAGUCCCUGAGCCUGCCCCUGCGCUUCUGGGUGAACGUGAUCAAGAACCCACAGUUUGUGUUCGACAUUCACAAGAACAGCAUCACGGACGCCUGCUUGUCGGUGGUGGCCCAGACCUUCAUGGACUCCUGCUCCACCUCUGAGCACAAGCUGGGCAAGGACUCACCCUCCAACAAGCUGCUCUACGCCAAGGACAUCCCCAACUACAAGAGCUGGGUGGAGAGGUACUAUGCGGACAUCGCCAAGAUGCCAGCCAUCAGCGACCAGGACAUGAGUGCGUAUCUGGCUGAGCAGUCCCGCCUGCACCUGAGCCAGUUCAACAGCAUGAGCGCCUUGCACGAGAUCUACUCCUACAUCACCAAGUACAAGGAUGAGAUCCUGGCAGCCCUGGAGAAGGACGAGCAGGCGCGGCGGCAGCGGCUGCGGAGCAAGCUGGAGCA
rnacentral:sRNA from 1 species